GUGCUCACUUUGGCAGCACAUAUGCUAAAAUUGGAAUGAUACAGAGAAGGUUAGCAUGGCCCUACCACAAGCAUGACACACAAAUUCAUAAAGCAUUCCAUAUUUUA